rnacentral:rRNA from 1 species
AGAGUUUGAUCCUGGCUCAGGAUGAACGCUGGCGGCGUGCGUAACACAUGCAAGUUGAACGACGGUGCCAUGAAGUGGUAACACGGAGUGGUAUACGGAGUAGCGGACGGGUGAGUAAAGCAUGAGAAUCCGUCCUGUCGAGGGGGAUAACGUUCGGAAACGGACCCUAAUACCCCAUAGUCCGAGAGGUUAAAGGCAGCGAUGCGCGGCAGGAGGAGCUCGUGUCCUAUCAGCUGGUUGGUGAGGUAACGGCUCACCAAGGCUUCGACGGGUAGCCGGCCUGAGAGGGUGACCGGCCACACUGGAACUGAGAAACGGUCCAGACUCCUACGGGAGGCAGCAGUGGGGAAUAUUGGGCAAUGGGAGGAAUCCUGACCCAGCGACGCCGCGUGAACGAAGACGGCCUUCGGGUUGUAAAGUUCUUUUAUGUGGGAAGAAGGAAGUGACGGUACCACAUGAAUAAGCCCCGGCUAACUACGUGCCAGCAGCCGCGGUAAUACGUAGGGGGCGAGCGUUGUCCGGAAUUACUGGGCGUAAAGGGCACGCAGGCUGUGCUUCAAGUCAGCUGUAAAAGGAUGCGGCUUAACCGUGUUAUGCGGCUGAGACUGAGGUGCUGGAGUACCGGAGAGGCAAGUGGAAUUCCCAGUGUAGCGGUGAAAUGCGUAGAUAUUGGGAAGAACAUCGGUGGCGAAGGCGACUUGCUGGACGGUAACUGACGCUGAGGUGCGAAAGCCAGGGUAGCGAACGGGAUUAGAUACCCCGGUAGUCCUGGCUGUAAACGAUGAAUGCUAGGUGUGCGAGCAGAGAUGUUGGUGUGCCGCAGUUAACGCGAUAAGCAUUCCGCCUGGGGAGUACGGUCGCAAGAUUGAAACUCAAAGGAAUUGACGGGGGCCCGCACAAGCGGUGGAGCACGUGGUUUAAUUCGAUGCAAACCGAAGAACCUUACCUGGGUUUGACAUGUAUGUGGUAGGAGAUGGAAACAUUGACGACGCUGCUUUCGGGCAGUGAGCAUACACAGGUGCUGCAUGGCUGUCGUCAGCUCGUGUCGUGAGAUGUUGGGUUAAGUCCCGCAACGAGCGCAACC